rnacentral:rRNA from 1 species
AGUGAACGCUGGCGGUAGGCCUAACACAUGCAAGUCGAACGGCAGCACAGAGGAGCUUGCUCCUUGGGUGGCGAGUGGCGGACGGGUGAGGAAUACAUCGGAAUCUACUCUGUCGUGGGGGAUAACGUAGGGAAACUUACGCUAAUACCGCAUACGACCUACGGGUGACAGCAGGGGACCUUCGGGCCUUGCGCGAUUGAAUGAGGCGAUGUCGGUUAGCUAGUUGGCGGGGUAAAGGCCCACCAAGGCGACGAUCCGUAGCUGGUCUGAGAGGAUGAUCAGCCACACUGGAACUGAGACACGGUCCAGACUCCUACGGGAGGCAGCAGUGGGGAAUAUUGGACAAUGGGCGCAAGCCUGAUCCAGCCAUACCGCGUGGGUGAAGAAGGCCUUCGGGUUGUAAAGCCCUUUUGUUGGGAAAGAAAUCCAGCUGGUUAAUACCCGGUUGGGAUGACGGUACCCAAAGAAUAAGCACCGGCUAACUUCGUGCCAGCAGCCGCCGUAA